ensembl:lncRNA
CCCCGAACUCUGACCACAAAGGGAAUAACGUCUGUCAAGUUAUUUGUGUCUGAAAAUCCCGAUUGGUUUUUUUGAACUACUAGAAGGAUUCUGGAGAACCACUGACGGCGAGAACAGCCCAAAUGAGAUCCUGGAUGAUCGUGAAAUGGUGUGGCCAGCCAUGCGAUCGGAUUGUGGGAUUUGCCUGAGAAACUGAUUCAAGCAACCCUGGAUUACAGAUAAGCCCUAUGCACUACUUUUCCUACCCGGAUAAUAGGGUUUGCACACUGACAAUUCCCCUACAGUACACCUGUUUGGGUUUUCAACGACUUUAAAGGACAAUUCAGACUGGACAAUUCAAACUUCACAACAGGAACACUUUAAUCUGUUUCAUUCAUUCCCAAGAGCUCUGAUACUGUUCAUAUAAAUCUUCCAUUUAAAUGUCUUUAUUUUGUUUUGUUUUACAUGUAUUCACCUUUAAAAUGCACUAUUAGUGUGCAAUUUGGGUUAUUGUGUUGUAUAUGUAUAUAAAUGGUACUGAGGCAAUAAAGGUCCCAGUUAUUCACUUCCAAGCCAACUCCUUUUGUGAGUCCCCAAAACAAAAC